AGAAGAGUGCCACAUCUCGGGUGUGGGAUGUAAAGUAGGCCACGGGUACGCCGUGGUAUUGGCUGCCCGGUGAUCUUGUAUUUGUCUUGAACUCUUGUUUGUAUCACAACGUAAACACCUUGUAAACGUGGAUGGCUCCUAGACAUCGUACUUUCGUACUCACGCUAUCAACAUCUCCUCCGAGGUCUACCAACUUGAGCUAUUUCCUACAAAACAAAAUAAAACAAUACAAAAACUUGAAUAAGGCUGACUGACAGCGUCAGACGGGUGACGUGGCAGCGCGGGUCGUGACGCGGGUCGUGACGCGGGUCAGGACGCGGGUCAAAUCCGAAUCAGGUCGAAAACGGUUAUUUUUCCGGGUUUAGUAUAAAAGGUUUUCUUUCCCACGUUUUUGCCCAUUUUCAAAUCACUGUUCACUUUUAGAGAGAGAAACCGCCGAGUUCUUCCAUUUCAGGAGAGAGAAAGCUUCUACUCUUUGAUCUUCUCUUCGAUUUCUUCAAUUUCUGGUUUUGAAGGUGUGAUUGUGAUAUUUUCCGAUUUACUUCAAGUUUCGUUUCAGUUCACAUAAUGAGGUCAAAAAAUGCAAACAAAGCAUCUGAUUAUCACGAUGCUGGGAAGUCGAGUCAAGAUGUUGAAGGCAGUUCAAGGCCGACUGAAGAUAUUCCAGCUAGUCCAAAGCUGAGUGCAGAUGAGAGGAAAAUUGGAAGGGGGCCAAAGAACACUACAAGAAAUUGUACUAUUAACGGCGGAAAAUCCCGUCGCGAAAGACCAAUAAUUGUUGAUUAACGACGGGAUUUCCUGUCGCGAACCCGUCAUAAAAGGGGGCCGUCGUUAAUAGAAAUCCCGUCGUAAAUCCGUCGUAAACCCAUCGUAAAUGACAUUUGCGACGGUUAUUCCCGUCAUUGUUUGGUUGUUUGCCCCGUCGCAAAAAGCUUUUGCGACGGGAUUAUUGACCCGUCGUAAUUAGGUUGUCGUUAAAGAUACAAAUUCUUGUAGUGGAAGUCGAAAGUUAAAGUAGAAUAUACGGAAGAUGGCGGGGAAGUUGUAGAGUUGGAUAGGGGUUACAAACUAAAUUGUAGACCAGAGGCGUUGAUUAAUCUUCUUAAUUCUAUAAAGAAGAAUGAAAACAAAGUGAAAGCCAUUAAAGAGAUAGGUUUUGGUGGUUUGUUGAGUGUUCGACUUCAUGAAGUCAACACACGCCUUGUUCCAUGGCUGCUUCAACAUUUUAAUUGUGUUGGUCAUAUGCUCCAGUUUGGAGAAACACAAAAUGUUCAGUUAUAUGAUUAUGAUGUCUAUGACGUCUUUGGCUUGCCAUGGAACAAGGAUUUUGAUGUUCAAGAGACGCCAAGAAAGCGGGUUGAAGGAGAUGCCAACCAUGAAAUGAUUCAAAGAUGGAAUGAGAAGUUCCACAAGAAACCAACUGUUCAGGCACCCACCU